CGGGCUGUAGUAUACCGGUAGUACGUCUGGUUUGGGUCCAGAUAGACUGGGUUCGAUUCCCAGCAGCCCGACCA
rnacentral:tRNA from 1 species